AUGUUUCUGGAUGGACGACGAGACCUGCCUGUCGGCUGUCGCUUCAGCAUCUUCAGUGUGCAGCUGGGGGUUUCCUUCCCACAUGACCCUACACCCCUUCCAAACGGGCCUAUCUGUAGACGAACUUCUCCCGCAGAGAAAAGAAGGCUUUCCCCAAGCACUGGGGGAGCCAGUGAGGCCCCGAGGCUGCAGAGCUGCAGGCGAUGGUGCCCCGUGGAUGUGUGGAGAGGCACCGAAGGGUCCAAGUCCUACAAACACUCGCUUAGAGACCCCGUGGCCCGGGUUCUCUGGGAGCGCAGUGUUGAGAGGCGCCGUCUUCCGGAUGGGGACGCACCAAGGGGAUGGGAAGUGGAAUCUGCCCUCAUACGUCCAGGGGCCCCUCUGGAUGUGGUACCCAGGACCAGCCACAGUGAUGAGAAUUCCCGGAUGCCCACGCUUACCACCAGCUUUUACCAGGAGGCUUUGGAGUUUCAGGACUGCCUAGGUCACCUUUGGAGUUCAGAGCAGGGUAAGCGUUUACUAACCCAGCAACCAUGUAACUGA
rnacentral:lncRNA from 1 species